GUCUCUACAAUCUCUUUUUCUGGCUAGACAGGAGGGCACAGGAUGAGCUUUCCCUUUCUUAUUGCUACAACCCUGCUCUGUACCUCUCUCCUGUUAAAGUGCCACAGGUGUUGGGAUCUCUUAGGAGCCAUCUCAUAGAACAUGGGGAUGAGGCAAGAGGACAAGAUCAGCUCAGAUCUGCUUGGCUCUGACACCCUGGCUGAGGCUGGUGUGCAGUGACCUGGAAGGGUGCCAGAACAAAUCCUCUAGCAGCUCUUGAGUCAUGUGGUCACACCGCAGAAAAAUAAAAAAAAUGAGUUGAACAAAUGGAUGAGUUUUCUUCAUUGUGAAAGAACCUCUAAGCAGGAGUUUCUGAGAGGUGUGUUGAGGGCCCCAGGGAAAUGCUCAUCUGUUUCAGUGUGGGACAGACCACCUGCCACUCAGGAUUCAGUUUCUCAGGUGAUGAUGGAGAGCAGAUCCUUGGAGUACUCCACUGAAGGGGGGAAAAAAAUCAACAACAAAAAAACAAGAGAAAGGAAUAACCAGUAGCAACUGGGCACCAAGAAAAGGAACAGGCUGAUUGAUGGUACAAAGGAGUAUUCUUUGGAGGAGUCACUUGGAGGUUUUUCUCACAAACAAUGAAAAGCUCGGUGUAAAGUACAACAAAAGGACAGCAAGUAAGUAAAAGAUCUGUUUGUACUCUUUGUAUUAUUAGAGCAGUCAAAAGCUGGAG
rnacentral:lncRNA from 1 species